CGUAGUCAACCUGCCCUCGAGCCGAGAAUAAUCUCGGGAAACUGAGGCUAAUGUUCGAUAGAUCAAGAUUCCUGGAAUGGGUUUUGGUCUAAAUGGCGUAACAGCAUCUUGUUAUUGCCGCUCGAGGAUGGGACUGCGGCCCGAUCAGGCUGUUGGUGGGGUAAAGGCCCACCAAACCCAGUAACCGGUACGGGCUUUGAGAGAAGGAGCCCGGAGAUGGACACUGAGACAAGGGUCCAGGUCCUACGGGGCGCAGCAGGCGCGAAACCUUCGCAAUGCGCGCAAGCGCGACGAGGUUAUUCUGAGUGAUUCCCGCUGAGGGAAUCUUUUCUUAGAUCUAAAAAGUCUGGGGAAUAAGGGGAGGGCAAGUCUGGUGUCAGCCGCCGCGGUAAUACCAGCUCCUCGAGUGGUCAGGGCGUUUAUUGGGCCUAAAGCAUCCGUAGCCUGCUCAGUAGGUCUCCUGUUAAAUCCAACGGCUCAACCGUUGGUCUGCAGGAGAUACCGCUGGGCUAGGAGGCGGGAGAGGCGGACGGUACUCCGAGGGUAGGGGUAAAAUCCUUUGAUCCCCGGAAGACCACCAGUGGCGAAGGCGGUCCGCCAGAACGCGCUCGACGGUGAGGGAUGAAAGCUGGGGGAGCGAACCGGAUUAGAUACCCGGGUAGUCCCAGCUGU
rnacentral:rRNA from 1 species